ACCAACGAAGCCGACGUCGAAGGAUGC
rnacentral:sRNA from 1 species